rnacentral:lncRNA from 1 species
CUUAAAAGCACACAACUCGAUGCGGACAAUCCGUUUAAUAUUUCCUUACCGGAAAAGAAAUGCAUUUUGUUUGUGUAAUUCUUGUCUCUUUAUUUUCACGAGCGCAAGUACAGUAGAAUGUCACGAAUAACCUACACCUUUGGUGCAAAUUGAAUGCAGUGCCAUCGGUAAAUCAAACUGAGUACGCACGUUGCCGCUCUCUCUCUAUCCAUCGGACCGCUCUCUCGCGUUCUAGUCAAAGCCUCGCUUCCGUCUCCCUUUUGAUCUGUCCUUGAACAUCAUCGCUCUCCCAACACUCGCUCUCUCUCUAACACUAACAACAAUGCAGCUAUGAGACGUGCAGUGGACAAGUCGGUGCGUGCAUUGGUGUA